rnacentral:rRNA from 1 species
UACGUAGGGUGCAAGCGUUGUCCGGAAUUAUUGGGCGUAAAGAGCUCGUAGGCGGUUUGUCGCGUCUGCCGUGAAAGUCCGGGGCUCAACUCCGGAUCUGCGGUGGGUACGGGCAGACUAGAGUGAUGUAGGGGAGACUGGAAUUCCUGGUGUAGCGGUGAAAUGCGCAGAUAUCAGGAGGAACACCGAUGGCGAAGGCAGGUCUCUGGGCAUUAACUGACGCUGAGGCACGAAAGCGUGGGGAGCAAACAGG